GACGAACGCUGGCGGCGUGCCUAACACAUGCAAGUCGAGCGAACAGAUGUGGAGCUUUCCCCCCUGACGUCAUCGGCGGACGGGUGAGUAACACGUGGAUACCACAUCUACAAGACUGGGAUAACUUAGUGAGAACGGAGCUAAUACCCGACAAUAUAUCGAAUCUCAUGGUCCAAUAGUGAAAGAAGGUUUUGUCGUCACUUAAAGAUGGAUCCGCGCAGCAUUAGCCAGUUGGUAAGGUAGCGGCUUACCAAGGCAACGACGGGUAGCCGACCCGAGAGGGUGAACGGCCACACUGGAACUGAGACAGGGUCCAGACUCUUACGGGAGGCAGCGGUAGGGAUUCUUCCGCAAUGAGCGAAGGCCUGACGGAGCAACGCCGGGGGAGGGAUGAAGCUCUUGGGAUCGUAAAACUCUGUAAUUAGGGAGGAAGAAAUGUGUGAGUAACUAGGCACGUCUUGACGGUACCGGAACAGAAAGCCACGGCUAACUACGUG
rnacentral:rRNA from 1 species